ACCGAUAAAAGAAAACAAAGACCAACGCAUGCAUAUAUAUUAUUAAAAUCUUAUUGAACAGUGGAGGUUAUUGCAUCUGCAAAGCAGUAUUCUUUGUAUCUGUUAUUUUUCUGGUGCUUUUCAUACGUAUAAACACUGUUUCUUUCAUUAACCAAUAGUUUUUUUUUUCUGAUAAGCUAACAGAACAGUUCUUAGGCCUAUGUUGGAAAUCUUCUUGACUGGAGAACCGUCGAGGUUUAGAAAAGUGUGGCUAAUGCACCUCAACUUCUUCAAGAUUGUGACAGCCACUGCACAGAGACACUCGAAGAAGAAGCAAGAGAAAGAAGUAGCUGCUUUUACUCAUUCAGAUUGAUUUUUCUUUCUAAUGCUCCAACAUCAGAAGGACCAAAGCAAAACAAGAAAAAUGCAGCUUCUCUUCUCAUUUUCGCCUCGUUGACGCAUUGUUUUGGUGGGAUUUGUACGUUAUAGAACAAAAAAAGUGAUCUUGGAAAUCGCUUGAAUCGGAAUGGAAUCAUCUUUGAGUACGUGGGGGUGUGGAGAAACCAUCAUUGACAGAUUGAAGAUAAAAGUGUUAAUCUUUGACUUGAACGGCUAAAGAAGUAGCGACAUAAAACAGAUAAGUUCUUCUACCGCUGAUUCUUACUUACUUUUAGUUUUAAGUUUUAUCAAACUCCAAAAAGAUCAUGGGCAGACACUAAUCUAAUAGUGUUCUGCCAGAUUCUUAUUUGGGGACAUUGUCCCGAGUCCAUGUUGCGUGAAGCUUUGUCCCAGAGGUAGAUGUUUGGUUGAUGAUGGAAACUAAAACAUACUUUAGUACCCACGGCUUUACAAAAAUAACCAUCGUCUUAAGAAAAAAAAAGAGUCUUUUAGACAGAAAAUGACUUUGUCUAAGGCUAUGAAAUUGAUGAAUGGAUGGAUGGAUAAAGGACCAAAAGGCUUACAUUUAGACAGAAGCCAUGAGAUUGUUGGAAGGAUUCAUUGUCCCGAGUCCUUGUUGCGUGAAGGUUAGACCCAGAGGAAACUGUUGGUUGGUAGUGCAUUUAUAAGAUACGUUUGGGAUGUAAAGUAAAACAUACUUUAGUACCCACGGCUUUACUAAAACAACCAUCGGCUUAAAAAAAAAAGAGUCUUUUAGACAGAAAAUAGCUAUGUCUAGCUAUGAAAUUGAAGGGUGGAUAAAGGACCAUCUGCUUACAAAAUGUCUUUAGACAAAGGCUAUGAAUUGCUUUUGAACUUGUUGGAUGGAAAUAACGAUCACAAGUCAUGGAAAGUAAUUGGAAAAUCUUGCUACCCACGGUUUUGUUAAAGGGUUUUAGACAGUAUUGGUAUGUACGGUUUGACAGAGAAGUCUUUAGACAAAGACUCUAGAUCUAAACCACAUCCAUUGCUUACCCACAGCUCUAUGAAUAGAGGGUGUUUGAGGAUGCAAAGUGUGAUAAAGUUUAGUACCCACGGCUUGCAAGAAAGUUUUGAGACAAAGACUGUGAAUCAUCAAUUUAGUACCCACGGCUUGAAGAAAGGUACUGAAUAAUUUUUCAUCACAUCUGUACCCACGGCUUAUGAAAAAGUAUCAAGACAAACGCUGGUAAUUGAAAAAGGAUGCAUUAAGACAAAGGCAUGCCAAAAAAGGUCUUUAGACAGACUGUGAAUACGUUUUAUCACAUUUUGGUACCCACGGCUUUGCAAGAACACGUCUUCAUCACAUUUUAGUACCCACGGCUAGCAAGAAAGUCUUGUGACAAAGACUGCAAAUCUCAAGUUUUCAAAGUGCAUCUCAAAAUCUAGUAAUUUAGUUAUGCAGCAAUGUGGUGUUUUGAGUUGGAGAGCUAUUUUGAACAUUAAACACAUAAAAAACAGAAAGUAUAUUAGAAAGUGUCUAAUGAUGUAGAGUAAGUUUAGAAAAGUGUCUUAUCCUAUAGUUUCUCAUUUUAUUUUUAGAUAAAGGGCAUUGUAUUUAUCAGAAUGACACAUUCCUAGAUUCAAAGACCAGAAGCCCUAAUUUCCGCUUCCUAAAUUUCUCACCGAUCUACAAUCACAGUCUUCAACCCAAAUUGUUUCAUGGGAGAGCGAGUAGAAUUGUGCCCUCCAAAUGAGACUGACACUCGUCUUCUUCCUUUUCUCUCAAUAUUUUUGUUAACCUAAAUUGACUCAUAAACUUAACUUUGUAUUUAUAGAUUACGACGUCAAACUUCGAACAUUCAUCCUAAAUGAAAAUAAAGAAAGAUCUGCCAUAUAGUUUUUUUCCUUCUCAAAUAUUUGAAUAUUCUCAAUGAGUCUCUAAUAGAGGUGUCAAAAUGAGUUAUAACUCAUGAGUUCGCUCAAUUCAACUCGAUUUUUCAUGAGUAUGAUCUUUAUUUUUUAAGCUCAUUUAAUAAAUGAGUUAAAUAAUCGAGAUUAAAUUAGAUCACGAAUUAUAUAAACGAUUUUUAAUGAACAUGAUCUGAUUCAUGA